UAUGUACUCCCUCCGUCUCAAAAUUCUUGUCUUAGAUUUAUCUAAAUACGGAUGUAUCAAGUCACGUUUUAGUAUUAGAUACAUCUGUAUCUAGACAAAUCUAAGACAAGAAUUUUGGGAUGGAGGGAGUAUUUC
rnacentral:pre_miRNA from 1 species